CUGAGUGCUGGGAUUACAGCUAUGUGCCACCAUGCCUGUGUUCCCCUAAGAGGAGGAGAGAGGGGCAGAGGCAGAGGCAUCUCCUGCCCACGCCUGGUUCCCCUCAGGAAACCACGAAGGGCGAACACAUCGCCGCGUCUCCAGCCGGGCUGAGAACAGUGCAGGUGGAAAAGCGUGUCCUUCAGAGCUGGACUUCAGACAACUGUUGUUUUCCAGUUGGCAGAACAUUCUGGAGACCCGAAAUGCACUAAAAGUAGAACCGAAAAUAAAAAGAGGAAACGCU